rnacentral:lncRNA from 1 species
CCUGCAAUCAACCUUCCCUACUUUCUUCUUCUUAUUAUUGUUAAUAAAUAAAAUGUAUUGUCUUUUAUUUGAACAUGUGGUUAUUUUAUUUUGAGUUUCAUUUGGUUCAAUAAUAGAUUGUUUUGGGGAUUUUUGUAAGCUAAUAAUUUUCUAUCCCAAUGGUGAUCAUUAUUUUGAAUUAUUAAUGACUCUUAUCCGACUAUAAGUUAAACUACAUACUAACAAUAAUUUAUUUUUACCAUUUUGAUUU